AUUGAACGCUGGCGGCAUGCCUUACACUUGCAAGUCGAACGGUAACAGGUCUUCGGAUGCUGACGAGUGGCGAACGGGUGAGUAAUACAUCGGAACGUGCCCGAUCGUGGGGGAUAACUACUCGAAAGAGUAGCUAAUACCGCAUACGAUCUACGGAUGAAAGCGGGGGAUCUUCGGACCUCGUGCGGACGGAGCGGCCGAUGGCAGAUUAGGUAGUUGGUGGGAUAAAAGCUUACCAAGCCGACGAUCUGUAGCUGGUCUGAGAGGACGACCAGCCACACUGGGACUGAGACACGGCCCAGACUCCUACGGGAGGCAGCAGUGGGGAAUUUUGGACAAUGGGCGAAAGCCUGAUCCAGCAAUGCCGCGUGCAGGAUGAAGGCCUUCGGGUUGUAAACUGCUUUUGUACGGAACGAAAAGACUCCUUCUAAUACAGGGGGUCCAUGACGGUACCGUAAGAAUAAGCACCGGCUAACUACGUGCCAGCCGCCGCGGUAAAAC
rnacentral:rRNA from 1 species